rnacentral:rRNA from 1 species
CGUUGAUUACGUCCCUGCCCUUUGUACACACCGCCCGUCGCUACUACCGAUUGAAUGCUCAGUGAGGCGUCCGGACUGGCCCAGAGAGGUGGGCAACUACCACUCAGGGCCGGAAAGCUCUCCAAACUCGGUCAUUUAGAGGAAGUAAAAGUCGUAACAAGG